CAGAUAACUUCAAACAGAGCCACUGGUGAUGAUUUAGUUCAUAAGUGCUUCUCUUUGGGGUUGUCUUA
rnacentral:pre_miRNA from 1 species